rnacentral:lncRNA from 1 species
GGGAUGGGGUGGGGGGUGCAGAGAAGAGAGCGUUGGACUCCACUAUACUUCCCCUAACUGCCUCUUCACCAGCUUGCUGCCCAUCUCCCUUCCUCGGCUUCCUGUUCACAAAGCUGAAUUACAAGAACUAGGAUGAGGUUCAGUUCUUUUUCUAGGCUUCAAGAAACUCCCUUUUAAAACUUCAUGAUUAUGAUCAGAAAAGGGAAAGUUAUAGUACCUACUUUAGGAGAAUGCAGCCACAUUGCUCUUCAUUUUUUUGGUUGCACGAGGCAGGAGAAGGAAACUUUUUUGUCCUACGUCAUUGUUCUUAGGAGCAUCUCACAGAAGCAGACCUACCCUUGAACUGAUCCCUCAUCUCAAAACGUGGGUGUAAUAUAAACGCACCCCUGACAAAGCAAGAGGUUCUGAAGAGUGUGUAGAAAGCACCACUGGUACAAAUUUUGACUAUGAUUUUGGACCAGCUCAACACAUGGCUCAACAGAGUAUUGACAUGUGAUCCCAGAACAAGGUUUGACCGGCGUUAGGGGGAAAAAGCAACAGCUUACGCAAUACCACAGUGCAAGGGAAGGCGGAGCUUCUCAGUAUUUGCAGACAUGUUAUUAAAUUCUAAUUCUGGCAAACAAUAAAGAGGAAAACAGAAAGAGGCUUUCAACUGGAUGGUAAAAUGCAGUUUGCGUGACACCGUUGACCGUCAACGACAGGAUGCCUUCUUUCACUCACCUCCCAAACAAGUACUACGGAUCCGAUACUCAGGAAGCAUAACAUUCAAACUUUGCUUUCAAGCUAGUAUAAGGAAACGUGCAGCCAGCCCAGACCCUCAGGCCUGCGCAUCAAGAUGGCAGGCUGGCCAAGGGUCCUCUGGGGACAGCAGUGCCAGAAGGAGGAUUGGACACGGUGACCCGUCUGCAUGAGAUGAGGAAAAAAACAACAACAACCAACAACCAGGAGGUCUGUAAUACUGAUGAACUAAUCUGUCACUCACCAGCUCAGGUCUGCAAAAAAGAAAAAAAAAAUGCAGUAAACAUUUAAUGACCAUGAGAGGUGGAAAUAAGAGUCUUCGUUUUUACAUGAUAUGCAAACCCAUGGCUCAGAACCUGCUUAACUGUUUAAUUUGAGUUGAUUUGAAAAAUCAUCAGAAGGCAAGAAUCCACCCUAUAGUUCAAAGGGCUAGGAAGUGUGCUACAGAUAACUAUCAAAAAUCCAGUUGAUUUCCAAGAAUUAUAUGAAUGAACCAAGUUUCUUGAUCUCGAUAUCCUAGGCAGGGAGUUUGUUCUUAAGUACUAGACUGCUUAAUUGCUUGCUUGGGGGAGAGAAAAUCCUGGGGGAAAGACAUUUAUGAGCAAUAUCUGCUCUAUGGAGCCAGUACACUCUCCCGAGCUGGAUCAUGGCCAGCAACACAGAAAAGUCUACUCUUCCUCUCCAGUGGAAGCAAGUGGAUAUUUGAUCUUAGAGAUGAAUGAAAAACCUAAAGAUCAUAUUUCGUGGGAAUCUUUCAGUAUUCUGAAUGGAAAAUAUCACUGAAAAUUGGUUAUUUGCUCCUCUAACCCAAAUCCACUUAGGAACAAAACUAAGAAGGAGGAGUUGUGGGGGUGGAGGACAGAAAUAAUUAUCAUUCCAAUAUGUAUAUGAGGAGGAACACAAACUAACAUUUGCAUUAUCAAAUGGGGUUGUUCACACAGGCUAAGUAGGUAUAAAAGGAUACUGAAAUUACCAGCUGCAAACACACACACACACAAACAACAAAAAACCCAACCAUUUACUUUUGAUUAUGAUUGAAAAGCAGUAAAAAUUAUUUUCACAUUCUCAUCAUUGUUAGAAGUAGUCAUUCGGGUAAAUAUAUUUAUCUGUGCUAAAACAGUUUAAAAGAAAUCAUUUCAAAUACCCAUGCCAUCUUCUGUUUUAUAUCUAUAGAUAGGGGCUCCACUGAGGUUUUCUGACUUUUAUGAUAUGCAUACAGGGCAGUAAGCUACUACUUCUCUUUCCUUUUUGCAGACCAGUGUUUCAGUUUCAGAAGGAGUAAGCAUUUUAGUUUGUACAUUUUUAAUACAGAAAAUGUGUACAACCUUCAGAACAACUGCUUUGAUAAUUUGCUACCUUGCCAAAAGUAUCUGGGUUUUUUCAAAAGCAAAUAAUUUAUGAGAAAUGGAAUCUUCAGAAAACAUGUGGCUACUUUGGUGCAACUAUUUAGAAAGUAUCUGUAACAAGUCAUUAACAUGUAUCAUUCCUGGACAUAUUGAGUCUUUAAAAAUUAGAGCACAUACAAAAUACCAAGCUAAGAAAUAAUAACCACCAAUUUUAACUCCUGACAAAUUAGAUGUUUAAGUCUAGUAUCUGUAAAAUGCACACCAAUUCCCUUCUUUAAAGUACAUAUUUGAACCUUUUAAAAGUAUAUGCCUUUGCAAUUAUUUCCAAUAAACAAUAUUGAAU